rnacentral:ncRNA from 1 species
UCUGCAGGGACGUGAGCACACUGGCUGAGGUGGGUUCCUGAGGUGUGUGUGGUGCGAGAAGCACCACUGGCCCGUCUCUCCCAUGCCACUUGGCUGGAGAGAUGGAGCAUGAGCGUCAGUGCUAGGACCCAGAAGAUGGUGAACUAUGCCUGGGCAGGGUGAAGCCAGAGAGAACUCUGUUGGAAGUCUGUAGAGGUCCUGACAUGCAAAUCAGUGGUUCAACCCAGGUCUAGGAGUGAAAGACUAAUCGAUCCAUCUAGUAGUUGG